GAGGGAGGGAGGGAGGGAGGAGUUUUUUACUCUCAUUCAUCCACAGACUGAAUAUUAAUACACAGAUAUUAAAAGACAUUUUUACAAAUACAGAGAAACUGUAGAAAAACAACAAAAUAAAAGCAGCUGAACCAAAACUCAUUUAUUAUUAUUAUUAUUAUUAUUAACAUUAUUAUUGAGUUUUAAUCCUAUUUUAUCGUUUAAAUACACGUUUCUACCAUCAAAAGAAACAGUUUGUUGACAUCAUGUCGCUGGUUUUCUGUGUAAUUUACAGUUUGUAGUAUAAAACGACUUUAUUCCGUAUAAAUCCUUUAAAAAUGCUGCUUAAAUAAAGUUUUACCGUUACAGAAACUGUAUUUAACCUACAGUUUAAUGUCAGUUUACAAACAUUUUUUUUUUUUUUUUUACAGUGCAGCAAGAAAACUAAAUUAGCAUAUUCAUAGAUUCUGUGAUUUUAUAAUGAGGUAAAUUACUUUCUUUAUGGUUUUAAUGUGGAAAUUCUACUUUAUUUGGACACACGUUGUUUUAUUUGUCUUAAUACGCUGAAAUGCAAUAAUUUAUUUUAACAUAAAGUAACACAAACUAACAAAAGAUUCCUGAUUAAGCUGCUUUUAUUAGUGAUUUUAAGCCACUGCUUCCCCCAACGAGACCCCUUUUCUUUAAUGAAUUAAACUGACUCAGUCACAUAUUUUAUAGAUAUUUAACAUUAUAUUAAAAACUGAUCAAUGAAUCCAAACUCAGUAACUGCAGGAGGUUUGUGCAAAACCAGAGAUUUGGAGGAAUUUUAUGCAGGUUAUUUCCUUUUUUAGGGAACUUUUUAUACAAUUCGGUCUGUAUUAUAUAUGUUUUAAAUAUUUUUUAACAUUCAAAAGACUUAAUAAGCUUCUUUAUGGAGAAUUUACGUCACAAUUUAAGUUGUUUAGCCUUUAAAUCAAGAAGGCCUCAAGAUGACGACAGUAGUGUUUCAGAGCUGGUGGCGGGGUCCACCAGGGGAGCCGAGCUGUACAAGAAGACACUAAAAACAUCAGUUAAUAAAAUAAAAUGACUUUAUUAUUACCAUUAUUAUUAUAUUAUAACAUAUAAUCUUUAAAAAUAUACAUUAUAACAUAUCUUAUUGUAUAUUGUCAGUGGGGGUUUUUGGGGCUCUGGCAUGGAAACAUUUGGGAACCCCCGUUAAUAAAAGCAUGGAGGGGAUCUUUAAGCAUUAAUACUUAAUUAAUAUAUAUUUAAUACAGAAAUAAAUAUAUAUAUAUUUAAAACUAUACAGCUCCAAAAAACAUCAAGAAUGUUUAAUAAGGUAUAUUAAAUAACAGAGGAUUCAUAAAAAAUCAGCUUUAAGACACAAUAAGAGGAACACUGAUGUAAUAUUACAGAGAAAGAGCAUUAAAAUCAUACAGAGUGACACAAUAUGUGAAUAUAUGUGAUAUUAUGGGAUAUAAUACAGACAAAGGGGCUACAGUCCCCAUGAAUAUUUCUCUUGAUCCGCCCCUGAACCUGAAUAUAUAAACAUUACUCAUAUUUAAUUUGAUAAUUAAUUUUGAAUAAGCAGUAAAAAGAGAUUCACCUAUAAAUCGAUAUGAGGAAACAGAGGAAAUAUAAGAGAAGGAGGAUUUAUUGAAAUAUAAUAUAAUAUCCAUAGGUAUGUUUUCAUUUCUGUUUAAUCACCUGUAAAUAAGAAUCGUUGUUGUUACCUGAGAAUGAGACGUUUUUAUCUACAGAGGGAGGGUUAGUCCUCUUCUGGCGGAGUCUGCCAUGUUUCUACGGUAGCCCAGUGGCGAGUUUCAUACGCAGCAUUUCUCCAACAAUGUGUGAACGGAAUUUAUCUAAAUAAAGUCAAAAAUGCUUUAAUUCUUUUUACAAAUGUUGAAUUUACUCAGUUUUCUUCCACUAAAGCAAAUUAUUACUUUACCUGUCAAAACAGCUGACGUACAAUAAAAACGUUGGUUUUUUUAGAUGCAUAUUUGGGUUCAUAAAGAUUAAUAAACUGAAAUAUAAACUAGAACUGUGAUAUCCUAUACAGCAUUAUAAUGAUAUAAAGUCAACUUAAAGAAAAUGAGUCAAAUAUUUCACACCUUUAAGUUCACUCAAAACAUCUGAGUUGCUUCAACAAUUCAUUCUGAUUGACUUUAAUUUGUAUUUCAUUUAUUUUUGUUAACAGGUUUUACAGUGUUAUUCGUAAUAUUUAUGAUGUUUUUCUGUUUUAAUUGUAACCAUAAAAAGUUGCAAAUAUUAUAGAAAGAAAAACGUUUUUCAACAAAAUCUGGAGAUUUGCAUAAUAGACCUUUUUCACAGCAACAAUUUCAACAUGUUGGGUAAACACAGACGUUACCAAUUAACUUUUUGUUCUAAAUACAAUGUGUGUGUGUGUGUGUGUGUGUGUGUGUGUGUGUGUGUGUGUGUGUGUGUGUGUGUGUGUGUGUGUGUGUGUGGAGUUAGAGGGCUUCAGGUCAGCUCAACCUCCCACCAGGUGCAUUGUGGUUAUUCAGUUAUUCAUUAUCCUUCCCUCUUCCACUGCACACCGUCUUCCAGAGGCUGUGGCGGGUUGUAUUUUAAAGCUAGAGUGAAGAUAGCAUCCAUCGGUACCAACCAUGUCAUGCUAGCGUGUUGUGAAGGAGGCUCGACAACGCUUUAGGUUGGGCUACAUUUUGGUGAUGGAAAAACUGGCAUGGCCGUUCUCAAAGGGAUCCCUCUGACCUCUGACCUCUAGAUAUCUGAAUAAAAAUGGGUUCUAUGGAAACCCCCUUUAAGAUAAUCCCAUGCAGUGUUUAGCAUGUGGUAUAAAUGUGUUAUUUCUGCCCACAAUAAGUUCCACAUGAAGCCGAUAUUGAGUAACAGACUCUCUGGAUACGACCCGUAGAAACAGAUAUGGGUUUUCUGUGUCGUGUUGCAGGCAGGAUGAAUGGAUUUCUCCCCCUCGUCCUCCUCUAACAGCCGUGUCUCGUCCUACACGUCAUGCUGUGUUAGUCCACAGUUUGAUCGAGUGGAACCGGACAGCAGGCGUGUUAUUAUCCAAACCAAUCAAUCAGCCCCAUCCCCUGCUUAACGAACCACGAGCACACACACACACUGAGUUAACAGAGGUCAUGUAAAGGGGCGUGUGUGUGUCGUGUUAGUGCACGUGUGUGACUGGCUGAGGAGGGGGGAUGGAGGCGUGUCAGACCUGGCAACCCGCGCAGUGUUUUAUGGUUGAGUUAAAGAGAAUUAGGGAGGAGACUGACACGGCCUGAUUACAGCGGGUUGAACACUCUGAGGUCAUUUUACUGUCAGGAGAUAUUUUCAUCAGUUUAUCAGCAUCAUCAAUAUCAGUUUUAUUUAAUUUAAGUGGAGAACUUUAUUUUAAGAUUCAUUCAUCAAGAAACAAUCAAAACUGAACAGUUCUCAAUAGUUUAAUUCCUGAACGGCUUCAGGACACAGUUAACAAAGUUUCUCAAUGAAUCUUGAACCUGAUAGAUGAGAGCAGCGAUACGUCACUUUCAAAGCCAGUUUACGGUUUUAUUUACUUUCCUAAUCAACUAAGGACAGUAAAAGAAAAGAUCUGUGGCUUUAAUCCACAGAGAGGGACAGUCAGUGAGUGUGUCUGUGUCCAACUCUUCCUCACAGGUUAGUUAAUGACAGACAGUCAGUGAGUGUGUCUGUGUCCAACUCUUCCUCACAGGUUAGUUAAUGACAGACAGUCAGUGAGUGUGUCUGUGUCCAACUCUUCCUCACAGGUUAGUUAAUGACAGACAGUCAGUGAGUGUGUGUGUGUCCAACUCUUCCUCACAGGUUAGUUAAUGACAGACAGUCAGUGAGUGUGUCUGUGUCCAACUCUUCCUCACAGGUUAGUUAAUGACAGACAGUCAGUGAGUGUGUCUGUGUCCAACUCUUCCUCACAGGUUAGUUAAUGACAGACAGUCAGUGAGUGUGUCUGUGUCCAACUCUUCCUCACAGCUUAGUUAAUGACAGACAGUCAGUGAGUGUGUCUGUGUCCAACUCUUCCUCACAGGUUAGUUAAUGACAGACAGUCAGUGAGUGUGUCUGUGUCCAACUCUUCCUCACAGGUUAGUUAAUGAUGUUACUGAGUCAAUGUGAGCAGAUUGUGUCUGUAGAUUGAAGAGAAUCAGAGUCUCACUGAUGGUGGAAAUAAAGGUUUUACUUCCUUAAAA